rnacentral:lncRNA from 1 species
GCCCUCUGCGGGUUCCCGCCGCCGCCUCCGACCUUGUUCUUCGUGAUGGCGAUGGCGAGGUCGUUGGGGAAGAGAGUACGCCAGACGAAGGCGUGCAGGAGUGUGGAGACGAAGAGGAUGAACACCAUGGCGGAGGACAUGAGGGACAGGGCCAGCGCCAUCCCCUUGGUUAUGACGCCGGGCACCGCCUCGGCGUACUUGAUGGUGGCCAGCGACGCCGUCGUCAUUGGGAAGGUGUACGACCACCACGCCACCGAGAACCUGCGCCACCGGCGAGGAAGUAAGCGCUAAACACGACCGCCCGAUUGCAGCAGGUUGGCUCGAUAACAUGAGGCUCUCUUUAUGUUCAUCAGGCAGGAAAUGGGUCUUCACCUGAAGCCGCGGAAGAAGUUGAUGCGGACGACGAGGGAGAUGUAGAGGAAGAGGGCGAUGAAGUAGCAGGUGCGGGAGACCUCGUCGAACUGGCCGUAGAUGUUCCCCCAGGCGAUGCUGGCGGCGGAGGGGGCGGCGAUGAACAUGGAGUACACCGGGUGGAGCUCCUUGGGGAGGGCCUCGCUGGUGGGCAGCCGCUGGUACAGCGUGACGAAGACGACGAGGUAGUGGGCGAAGCCCACCGCCCAGAGGAACUUGGCCGGCUCCCACCACCCCACCCGCCCGGCGAGGAUGGCUCCUACAAAGUUCCCCACCACGGAGAGGUGCGACGACGGGUUGGCCACCUUGCAGAGCCGCCGCUUCCCCCCGGAGAGCCACUGCCCGUAGAUCUUCAGCUCCAGGAACAGCACCGGCCCCAUGAAGGCGCACCAGAGCGAGGGGUGCAGCAGCUGCUGCCGGCGGGCCAGCGCCGGGGGCGCGCCGAUGGCCAGGAACAUGCAGACGAUCCAGGGGGCGAAGAAGAAGUUGACCCGCACGGGGUGGAAGUACUCUCUUCGGACGGCCUCGAAGUAGAAGGCGCACUU